AACGCACAUUGCGCCCUUGGGUAUUCCUGAGGGCAUGCCUGUUUGAGAACCUUGACGUGUCUCACCAAAACCGGUUUUUUCUUGAGAGGAUUUUUCCGGUGGCGGUGGAUUUGGGCUGAGCUCUCCACUUGUGGGGAGCAGCCUUAAAUGGAGUUUCGAGCUUUGCGUCUUGGUCCGCUGCCAGAGGCGUUGGAAUCCUUGAUGCGUGAGCGAUGAGUCUCUUGAGACUGCUGAUAGUAGCCUUUUUUGGUUUCAUUCGGGUCACUUGAGAACUCCGCCAUGCUAGGAAUCCUGUUUAAUUCUCUAGCGGACUAGUUGACUCCCACUUAGGAGUGCGCUCGUUGUAAAUCUGCCAGGGGGCCCAGCAUACCCCUGAACAUCUGGUCUCAAAUCAGACAAGAUCACCCGCUGAACUUAA
rnacentral:misc_RNA from 1 species